CUAAUUGAGCAAUGUCAUAUUCUAUAUCUGCAGUUACAGUUGGUAUAUGUACACAGCAGUGAACGAUUCUAUCUUUGAGAUAUCCACAAACACCAUGUUUCUUCAACAGCAAUGUGUCUAAUGCCAUUCUGUUUUGCAGAGUCAUUUUGGUUGUUGCCUGUAAUUGCAAAUUUAGAUCCCUAAAGCCUUUUUAGUCACCUUGGCCAAUCUCUCAGUUUGUCCAAUUAAAUUAUAAAUCAUUUCCCUAUUGCGAUAUGCAGCUAUUUGAGCAAAAAGGGAUUCAAGUGCCCAUCUUACUUUCACUCCAGUCUCAGGCUCUUGCCAAGUGUCAUCUAUAUUGUCAAUGUCAUCAUCAAUACUUCUUUUGGUUUGAAUCUGCAAAGUUUCUAGUUUGCCCCUGAACGGGGAACGCUUCCAAACUGGACACAAAGUGGGGAGUCCUAAGGUAAUUUCCCGCACUGGCCCUGUUAUUGGAAGGUGGGUGGUCCAGGUACCACCACUGAGUGCCCAAACAAGAUGUCCCAUGCUAUGUAUCAUCAAAUAUCUGCAGUUUAUUCCAUCAGCCGGGGCUUGUAUCGGUUUUUAUUAUCUCCUUUUCCUGACACUUAACUGCCUCGUUUCCUUCUGGGAAUGGUAUUGUUAUUAUUCCCCACUCAAUUGGUUCUCCAGCUGCUUUUGGUAUUGGGAGGCAUGCCGUUAUUCUACUCGUAUUUUGCAUUUUUGCGAAAUCCUUGAUUAAUCCUAUCAUUAGGUUUUCCUCCGGAUCACGUUGGGGUACUUGAAUUAUCUGGGGUGAUUCGGUCAGUUUUAUAGCUCGUCUGACUCUAGUUUUAGUAAUGUAUAUUAUCUUCUCACCGUAGUCUGCACUAUUGUUUGUCUUGACCAGACAACGAUAUUUUCCCCGCAUUUGUUCAGUCAGAUUGGCUAUCCUUAAUUUAGUCUCUCCUUCAGUAAGAUUUCGUGAACAGAACCUGUUCAUUACUUUACUUCUAGAUUGCCAAUUUUCCUGCAACUCCUGCUCAUGCCCCACUAAUCCUUUGUCCUUGCUGUCGAAAAUUAUCUCAGGUGCUUCAAAAUUUUCCGAUUCCUUUUCCCAGAUAACCCUUAUUAGUUCUCCUCCCAUUGGCAUGGUAAACCUGCAAGACAGAGUGGCAUUUUGUCCAACAACAUACGUCACCACCUCCCUUUUCAAUGAAACUUCUAAGGAACCAACAAUUAUUAUAGGUAAGACUGACCAAAUCACAAUUAAAGUGCUAUACAUAUAACAUGACAUCUUAUCUGCAUUUCAGCCUCAGUUUUGUAGGUCCUAAGGCUUCUGAUUCGACAAUGUUUCGGGACUUUCUUCACUCUAGUGUAGUGAACCCAGGAGUCAAUUCCUUCCACUUUUACAGCGGUGAAGGUAGUUAGCAGCACCAGGUACGGUCCAUUCCACCGUUCCUUAAGUGGUUCCUCGCUCCAAUCACGAACGUAGACCUGGUCUCCUGGCUCGAUCUCGUGUACUGGAGUCUCCAACGAGAGCGGUCUGUUCCAGAUCAGGGCACUACGCAACCGGAUCAAAGUUCUACUGAGAGAUAACACAUAAUUAUGUACAUCCUGAGUUCCUUUGAUAUGUACAUGUGGGUUUGGCUGGGGAGCCUCAUAUGGCUUUCCAAACAGGAUCUCAUAUGGGCUUACCAUCAUCCCACUUCUAGGUUUAAUUCUGAUCCUUAAAAGGGCUAUUGGUAAUGCCUGUGGCCAUUUUAUUUUAGCCUCCUGGCAUAUUUUGCUUAUCUGUCUUUUAAUUGUUUGAUUCAUCUUUUCUACCUGUCCACUGGACUGUGGCCUCCAUGGGGUAUGAAGAUUCCAGGAUAUUCCUAACAGUUUACUGACUUCCUGAACUAUAGUUGCUGUAAAAUGCGGUCCUCUAUCUGAUGAUAUACCCAACGGGA
ensembl:lncRNA